UUCGUUUUUCAUUAGUCCGUCAGAAUCAGAAAUAGCGGAUAGAGACGCGAGAGAGAGUGAGAUCCAGAUUUGAGCCUUCAUUCUCCUCCUUGCUUGGCUUUCCUCCUUCGCUGGUGAGUGGUGUGUCAUCUUCCGCCGCUACAAGUUGUCCCGACGAAGUGAUUAUCGGCCUUCUCCCCUAUUGUGUCAGCUAAGAAACUGCCCUUGUUGACGGUGGGUGUCGGAUCCUUCUCCCUCCUCUGUUCUUAGUGUCACCGGCGUGGGUGGCAAGGAUUCGACUUGCCACCACCUUCCUCUACUAUGCUUCACUUCGUUCAGGUUUUUCUGCCGUCUCCUUCUGCUCUUCUUCCCUGACCGCUGUAGCAGAUCAAAGACCGUUCCUCUUUUCCUCACCGGCAUCGAUUGCGUGGGGUAGAGCUGAUCCUUUCUUCUAUCCAUGCACUGUUGUUGGUAUUGCCAUCGAGUCCCUCAUUCAUCGUCUUCCUCUGUUUCAAGUGUUUGUAAGAUGGGCAGCUCGAUUGGAGUAUAAGAAGUGAGUUUGAGCUUUGAAUGUAUUACAGGACGUUAUUCACUGGAAAGUAUUUUAUUUGGCCUCAGAUACCAUAGCUGAUUUCAUACUCAUUGCUGAUCUCUGAUGAGCUUGUUGCUGAAUUGAUUAGAAGAUUACUUUUGAGAAUAUCAUCUUAUUCAUGUAAAAUUUGAAAACUUAUGUAGGAUCUUUUGGAAGUUUGAUUUAGAGUGCUCCACAUCAACUAUAGUUAGGGUCUUGAUUUUUUUUAUGUUAAUUACUUGAUGUUGUGAGAAACAAAGCUCUAUUGUUGGAUAUAUGAUGUAAACUUUUUGGUGUAGAAA